rnacentral:rRNA from 1 species
GACGAACGCUGGCGGCGCGCUUAACACAUGCAAGUCGAACGGAAAGGCCUGCUUUCCCUUGUGGAUUGCGGGUACUCGAGUGGCGAACGGGUGAGUAACACGUGAGUGAUCUGCCCCCAACUUGGGUAUAAGCCUGGGAAACUGGGUCUAAUUCCCGAUAGGACUGCAGGGUGGUGCCUGUGGUGGAAAACGAUUUUCUAGUGGUUGGGGAUGAGCUCGCGGCCUAUCAGCUUGUUGGUGGGGGAAUGGCCUACCAAGGCGGCGACGGGUAGCCGGCCUGGGGGGGGGGGGCGGCCAAUUGGGGAAUGGGAACCGGCCCAGACCCGUCGGGGGGGCAGCGGGGGGGAAGAUUGCCCAAGGGGCGGAGGCCUGAGGCCGCGCCCGCGGGGGGGGGAGGAGGGCCUUGGGGUUGUAAACCCCUUUGGGCCGGGAGGAAGCCACCUGGUUGGAGGGGUGGGAGCGGUAGGGGUAGAAGAAGCCCCGGUUAACUACGG